rnacentral:rRNA from 1 species
CUACGGGACGCACCAGUGGGGAAUAUUGCACAAUGGAGGAAACUCUGAUGCAGCAACGCCGCGUGGAGGAUGACACUUUUCGGAGCGUAAACUCCUUUUAUAUAGGAAGAAGAUGACGGUACUAUAUGAAUAAGCGCCGGCUAACUCCGUGCCAGCAGCCGCGGUAAUACGGAGGGCGCAAGCGUUACUCGGAAUCACUGGGCGUAAAGAGCGUGUAGGCGGAUUAAAAAGUCAGAAGUGAAAUCCUAUAGCUUAACUAUAGAACUGCUUCUGAAACUCUUAAUCUUGAAUAUGGGAGAGGUAGAUGGAAUUUCUGGUGUAGGGGUAAAAUCCGUAGAGAUCAGAAGGAAUACCGAUUGCGAAGGCGAUCUACCAGAACAUUAUUGACGCUGAGACGCGAAAGCGUGGGGAGCAAACAGGAUUAGAUACCCCUGUAGUC